rnacentral:rRNA from 1 species
GUGUAAGGCCACACCACCCUGAACACGCCCGAGCUCAUCAGAUCUUGGAAGCUCGGCAAGGUAGAGACCCAUUAGAACUUGAAUGGGAGCUCAUAUCCACAUUUUACAAU